rfam:Flavobacterium hercynium strain DSM 18292 43415_contig_54, whole genome shotgun sequence.
AAUGGGUAAGCCGAAAACCAUAAAGAGUAGGCA